UUCAUGGAGAAGGCUUCGUCUGAAGUUCUGAUUGCGUCUCGGCGUCUCCAGGAGUUCUUCCCUGCUUCAUCAUUUAGGAGCGAUCCUCUUAACCCUCUUCUGCAGAUCGAAGAAGGCAACCGAUCGGGAAGAUGAGCAGCUGGUCGUCGUCCGUCGAGAAGAUGAAGAGGUGGAUGGUGAUGCCCGCGGCCGCGGGAGUGGAGGCGAAGCUGCUGUGCGUAGUCUGCAGCGUCCCGCGCCCGGAAGAUCCACCCGUGCAGGGAGAUUAUGUGGAACAACGUGUGCACCACAGCAUCAAGCGCCUUGGUUACGCUUGCAUUGCCCUGAAGGAUUUUUCUAAACUCAAGAUGAUGCAUGACGUCGACUGGAAUGAGAAGCAUAGGCUUAUUUUCCGGCACAAAAAAGUGAUAAUUGUAUUCUCUUAACUGUAAAUAAAUUGUGAGUGUCACACAUGAAAUCCUUAGGUUAUUUUAUUUCUGAAUUUGAACUUCCAAUAGUGAAUCUGAAAAGGAAUAGUGCUCUUGUAAUAAGUUUAAAUUUGGAGUAUGAAACUGUUAAUUGGUACCGCCUGUCAAUGGUAUAUGCUGAGUUCCUGACGGGUGUUGGAUUAUUCGUUGUGUCCUUUUGAUCAUUGCAGAAAAAUGCCUACGCAUUGCUGUAUUCGGGAGACUAUUCCGAUGCCGCCAAAAAUGCAAUGAAGAAUAGUUUUGAAACGAAGAUAUCUCACAUAGUGGAUAUCAGCUACCGCAGCUUUUCAGGUAAGAGCGAUGUUGUGAAAUUUUUGACGGUCAAGGGAGCUAAGCCUGACGGGCG